rnacentral:rRNA from 1 species
AGAGUUUGAUCAUGGCUCAGAACGAACGCUGGCGGCGUGCUUAACACAUGCAAGUCGAGUGCGCGGCUGUAGCAAUACAACUGGCGCACGGCGCACGGGUGCGUAACACGUGGGCAAUCUGCCCUUCGAUGGGGAAUAACUCCGGGAAACCGAAGCUAAUUCCGCAUAACAUUCCUUGGACCUCGGUUCGAGGACUCAAAGCCGUAAGGCGUCGAAGGAGGAGCCCGCGCACGAUUAGCUAGUUGGUAGGGUAACGGCCUACCAAGGCUUUGAUCGUUAGCUGGUCUGAGAGGAUGAUCAGCCACACUGGAACUGAGACACGGUCCAGACUCCUACGGGAGGCAGCAGUGGGGAAUCUUGCACAAUGGGCGAAAGCCUGAUGCAGCGACGCCGCGUGGGGGAUGAAGCAUUUCGGUGUGUAAACCCCUUUCGACUGGGACGAAUGCCUCGCAAGAGGAGUGACGGUACCAGUAGAAGAAGCCCCGGCUAACUACGUGCCAGCAGCCGCGGUAAGACGUAGGGGGCCAGCGUUGUUCGGAAUUACUGGGUGUAAAGGGUUCGUAGGCGGUGCGGCAAGUUGGGAGUGAAAUCUCUGGGCUUAACCCAGAGGCUGCUUCCAAAACUGCUGUGCUCGAGUGUGAGAGAGGCUCGUGGAAUUGCAGGUGUAGCGGUGAAAUGCGUAGAUAUCUGCAGGAACACCCGUGGCGAAAGCGGCGAGCUGGAUCACUACUGACGCUGAGGAACGAAAGCUAGGGGAGCAAACAGGAUUAGAUACCCUAGUAGUCC